GGCUGGCCUAGGGCAUCUCCACCCUGGGGCAAAAGUGGGAUUCUGGGCAGCAUAAAGCCUCGGGUGUUUAUGUGGGAGAGAGGGGAGAAGAGAGAGCCAGACGGUGGAGCCUUGCAGGCCGGGAGGAGCCUUGCAGGCCGGGCUCCCUCUCCUCCCUGAGCCUCAUUCUGCUCAUCUGCAUCUGGGGCAAGAAGCACACCAUCGGGUGGCCCAGACCUUGCCCUUCCCACACUUGGAGAAACUCUGCCUUUAUGGGUCUCCUGUGGGCCCGAGCCUUGCUUCCCGCUGGGAAGACUCCAGGUUCCUGGCAGCUAGGACACGGGCAUGUGACCCAAGCUGGGGUAUCAGGUCCACAGGUGCCAGACAGAGAGGGCAGGAACGGGGGCAGGAACACCCACCUUCGGAAGCCAGACCUGCAGUCCUGGGACCGCAACUUCACCUCAAAGGCUCCUGGCAUAAACGCACUUUCUAGACCAAACUCUGACAUGGCACUUCCUGUCUAUCAGGGUUCCCAGCGCUUACGUAGAUUAACUCAGUUAAGCCUCUCGACAACCCUCUGAGAUGGGCCCUAUGAUCUCGAUCUUCAGAAGAGGAGACGGGGCACAGAGAGGUUGAGCGACUUGCCCAAGGGUGCAGAGUGGGGAUGUGUGCCCCAGCUGGCCAGCGUCCCUCGGGUCAGUCUAGACCACAGUCCACAGAGCUCCCAGCCCCCUCUGGGAAUUUCCUGGAAGGCAGGUACGAGAAAAUUAAAAUGGCACACAUGGCCUGCAUCAGUUAUAUUUCCACUGGGUAACACGGGUCUGCAGGAAGCGCCGACCUUGGAAGUCCUAAAUUGACAAAUACACUGCGCAUUUCCCCUGU